ACGGGAGGCAGCAGUGAGGAAUAUUGGUCAAUGGGCGAGAGCCUGAACCAGCCAAGUAGCGUGCAGGAUGACGGCCCUACGGGUUGUAAACUGCUUUUGCGCAGGGAUAAAAAAGCCCACGUGUGGGCUCUUGCAGGUACUGCGUGAAUAAGGAUCGGCUAACUCCGUGCCAGCAGCCGCGGUAAUACGGAGGAUCCGAGCGUUAUCCGGAUUUAUUGGGUUUAAAGGGUGCGCAGGCGGCUUUUUAAGUCAGUGGUUAAAUCGUGACGCUCAACGUCAUCACGCCAUUGAUACUGGAGAGCUUGAUUGCGGUCGAGGUUUGCGGAAUUCGUUGUGUAGCGGUGAAAUGCAUAGAUAUGACGAAGAACACCGAUUGCGUAGGCAGCAGACCAGGCCGUAAAUGACGCUCAUGCACGAAAGUGCGGGGAUCGAACAGGAUUAGAUACCCUGGUA
rnacentral:rRNA from 1 species